rnacentral:lncRNA from 1 species
GUUUAAAUGAGCUUUUUUACCUGCACAAAAUAUAAUUCUAAGGUUAGGAGCAACUUAUAUGAAUUGAAUAUCUGAUUUAUCUGCAUAUUUGUGUACUCAUCAGAUAAACUCCAGAAAAAUGCUGAGUGUGAAGCUAAGCAAGAAGUAAAGCUUAUUUUAAGACAGAAAAUAAUUUGAUGCAAGAUGAGCAUAUGUUAUUGUUCAUUUCAGAUUCUGCUUGCUCUCUUUGGAGUUCUCCUGGCUCCAACCCUUGCUGAGGAGAACCACAGGAGGGCUGAGGGUGAAGGUCCACACCUUCCACCCCAUGAUGAAGGUCCACGUCACCCGCCCCUUGGCGAAAAUCCACACCUUCCACUCCGUGGCGAAGGUCCACCCCAUGCUGAAGGUCCACACGAGCCAGCUCGUAAUGAAGGUCCACGCCAUCCUCCCCUUGGCGAAAAUCCACACUAUCUAAUCCACGGUGUAAAUCCACGCCAUCCACAUCGUAUUGGAAUUCCACGUCAUCCACGCCCUUAUUUUGGCAACCGUGGGUUUGCCAUCAGGCCACCUGUGUACCCUAAUAACUGGAAAACCGUCUGGGAUGCCAAGACUGGUUUCAUCGCAACCAAGGUACUGGGAAAAAACACCUGCAUCAUUAGCAAAGCUAACACAGGAUUUAAUGGAUUUGAGGGAGCUAGCUCCCCUGGGUUCCUUCCACCCAUAGAGCAUCGUUACGUGAUCUCAAACAACAGACUCCUGAACCUGUACCCAUACGGAGCACGCAUUCAAAGACUGUGCAGAGGAGUUCCCACUUACUUUGCUUUCCCAUCUCCUGGGUCAAACUUCUCAGAAGAUGAUGCCUCGUGCUUCAGCAAUGUGUUCAGAAAUAUGAGUCUCAUUUACUGCAAUUCAUAAAUUUCUCCUGAUGAAAUUUUGACGAAGAAAAUACACAGAUCUGCGUACCCAUGAAGAAGCCUUUUUUCCUUGAUGAUCUGAUCUUGAUCACAGUGUCAAUCAUGUAUCUGUCUUCUCUUCUGCUCUUUGUGGAGCAUAUUUUCUUUCAGUAAAAUGCAUCAUCAGCCUCCACUAGUCUGUGUUUUUAAUGACCUUUUUAAAAAGCAGAAGCAGCACGAAAGCUAAGUUGCUAAACUGUAAUUCCUAAAAAUUCCAAAUUUUGCAUUUAAAUCUGAUCUUGUAGUACUUCCCAAAGAAAUUUGACAUUAAGAAAGUUUCCAUCACUGCUAAAAUAAAGUGGUGUUACACACUGCAUAACCAUAUCAGAAAGAAUUAAGUCCAUAUGUAUAAAAACAAGCAUAUUUGUGGAUUAUUUCAAUUUCAACUUAUUGCUAAAAUACUGUUAUACCAUGUUUUAUACCAAAAAAAAAAAAAAAAGACGCUGCAGUGCAUUAUAGCCAAAUACAAAUGCAGAAAUCAAGCGUUCAGUAACAGAAUCAUUAAGUGAAAUGC